GCUAUGAUGACACACACUUUUGAUGAUCUUUUUGAACUGAUUGUCCUCUAAGAAGUUCUGAGCUU